UGAGGAAUAUUGGUCAAUGGGCGGGAGCCUGAACCAGCCAAGCCGCGUGAGGGAUGAAGGCCCUAUGGGUCGUAAACCUCUUUUGCCGGGGAACAAAAGUCUUCACGAGUGGAGAAAUGAGUGUACCCGGAGAAAAAGCAUCGGCUAACUCCGUGCCAGCAGCCGCGGUAAUACGGAGGAUGCGAGCGUUAUCCGGAUUUAUUGGGUUUAAAGGGUGCGUAGGCGGCGAUGCAAGUCAGCGGUAAAAGCCCGGGGCUCAACCCCGGCGAGCCGUUGAAACUGCAGUGCUAGAGAAGGCGAGAGGUACGCGGAAUGCGCAGUGUAGCGGUGAAAUGCCUAGAUAUUGCGCAGAACUCCGAUUGCGAAGGCAGCGUACUGGCGCCUGACUGACGCUGAGGCACGAAAGCGUGGGGAUCGAACAGGAUUAGAUACC
rnacentral:rRNA from 1 species